rnacentral:rRNA from 1 species
AGAGUUUGAUCCUGGCUCAGGAUGAACGCUGGCGGUAUGCUUAACACAUGCAAGUCGAACGGAGACCUUCGGGUCUUAGUGGCGGACGGGUGAGUAACGCGUGAGAAACCGCCCCUUGGUUCGGGACAACAGUUGGAAACGACUGCUAAUACCGAAUGUGCCGAAAGGUGAAAGAUUUAUUGCCAAGGGAAGUGCUCGCGUCUGAUUAGCUAGUUGGUUGGGUAAAGGCCGACCAAGGCAAUGAUCAGUAGCUGGUCUGAGAGGAUGAUCAGCCACACUGGGACUGAGACACGGCCCAGACUCCUACGGGAGGCAGCAGUGGGGAAUUUUCCGCAAUGGGCGAAAGCCUGACGGAGCAAUACCGCGUGAGGGAAGAAGGCUCUUGGGUCGUAAACCUCUUUUCUCAGGGAAGAAACCUGACGGUACCUGAGGAAUAAGCAUCGGCUAACUCCGUGCCAGCAGCCGCGGUAAGACGGAGGAUGCAAGCGUUAUCCGGAAUUAUUGGGCGUAAAGCGUCCGCAGGUGGUUUAUCAAGUCUGCUUUCAAAGCGCGAGGCUUAACCUUGUAAAGGGAGUGGAAACUGAGAGACUAGAGUUCGGUAGGGGUAGAGGGAAUUCCAGGUGUAGCGGUGAAAUGCGUAGAUAUCUGGAAGAACACCAGUGGCGAAAGCGCUCUACUGGGCCUGAACUGACACUGAGGGACGAAAGCUAGAGGAGCGAAAGGGAUUAGAUACCCCUGUAGUCCUAGCCGUAAACGAUGGACACUAGGUGUUGCGCGUAUCGACCCGUGCAGUGCCGUAGCUAACGCGUUAAGUGUCCCGCCUGGGGAGUACGCUCGCAAGAGUGAAACUCAAAGGAAUUGACGGGGGCCCGCACAAGCGGUGGAGUAUGUGGUUUAAUUCGAUGCAACGCGAAGAACCUUACCAGGGUUUGACAUCCUACGAAUCUCCUUGAAAGGGGAGAGUGCCUUCGGGAGCGUAGAGACAGGUGGUGCAUGGCUGUCGUCAGCUCGUGUCGUGAGAUGUUGGGUUAAGUCCCGCAACGAGCGCAACCCACGUUUUUAGUUGCCAUCAUUAAGUUGGGCACUCUAGAGAGACUGCCGGUGACAAACCGGAGGAAGGUGUGGAUGACGUCAAGUCAGCAUGCCCCUUACAUCCUGGGCUACACACGUACUACAAUGCUACGGACAAAGGGCAGCCAACCAGCGAUGGCGCGCUAAUCCCAUAAACCGUAGCUCAGUUCAGAUCGCAGGCUGCAACUCGCCUGCGUGAAGGCGGAAUCGCUAGUAAUCGCAGGUCAGCAUACUGCGGUGAAUACGUUCCCGGGCCUUGUACACACCGCCCGUCACACCAUGGAAGUUGGCCACGCCCGAAGUCGUUACCCUAACCGCUUGCGGAGGGGGGCGCCGAAGGCAGGGCUGAUGACUGGGGUGAAGUCGUAACAAGGUAGCCGUACCGGAAGGUGUGGCUGGAUCACCUCCUUUUAGGGAGACCUCACACUCAUCUAGACCGAAACAAUAUGGAAUAAGUCAGAUGAGAGUCAUCCCAAGGUCGUUGAGGAAGAGAUUAGGGAAGAAAUCUUUCAAACUAUUAACUAGGUAAGGGCAUGGGCUAUUAGCUCAGGUGGUUAGAGCGCACCCCUGAUAAGGGUGAGGUCCCUGGUUCGAGUCCAGGAUGGCCCACUUAAGGGGGGUUUAGCUCAGUUGGUAGAGCGCCUGCUUUGCAAGCAGGAUGUCAGCGGUUCGAGUCCGCUAACCUCCACCAAGAAAAAUAUUGCCAACCCAUUUAAACCUUUUAACCCUUUUACGCGUUCGAACCAUUCGAACCAUUCGAACCAUUCUAACCCUUGUUGAGAAUUGGAAAAAGAUACUAGCAACUCAACUUGUCGAGAAGACAAGAGAGCCUGCUGGGAUUUAUUCCAGCGAGAACCUUGAAAACUGCAUAUAAGCGAAAAAAUUGUCAGGUAGAAUCCGAGCAAUUUUUAGGAGAGCGAGAGAAGCGAGAAAUUGCUGCUUAUUGCGAACCUAAGGAGUUGUUCAUAGAAUUUUCCAGAAAACUGAGCAAUCAGCCAACUGAGAAAACAGAUUCAAAAAAGACACCAAUAGUUGGUCAAGCUACAAAGGGCUUAUGGUGGAUACCUAGGCACACAGAGGCGAAGA